rnacentral:rRNA from 1 species
GACGAACGCUGGCGGCGUGCCUAAUACAUGCAAGUUGAGCGCUGAAGGUUGGUACUUGUACCAACUGGAUGAGCAGCGAACGGGUGAUUAACGCGUGGGGAAUUGGCCUUUGGGGGGGGGAAAACAUUGGGAAACGAAAGUUAAUACCCCAUAAAAACUUUAAACACAAGUUUAAUGUUUGAAAGAUGCAAUUGCUUAACCCAAAGAGGAUCCCGCGUUUUUUUAGUUAGUUGGUGAGGUAAAGGCCCAACAAGGCGAUGAUACAUAGCCGACCUGAGAGGGUGAUCGGCCACAUUGGGACUGAGACACGGCCCAAACUCCUACGGGAGGCAGCAGUAGGGAAUCUUCGGCAAUGGACGAAAGUCUGACCGAGCAACGCCGCGUGAGUGAAGAAGGUUUUCGGAUCGUAAAACUCUGUUGGUAGAGAAGAAAGUUGGUGAGAGUGGAAAGCUCAUCAAGUGACGGUAACUACACAGAAAGGGACGGCUAACUACGUG